UCCCUAGUGGCUCAGAUGGUAAAGCAUCUGUCUGCAAUGCAGGAGACUCGGGUUCGAUCCCUGAGUUGGGAA
rnacentral:tRNA from 1 species